UCCUAUCCAGGAACGUUGUGCAAUUAUUGG
rnacentral:piRNA from 1 species